UAUAAGGUAAAUCUUGUACAAAAUUACCCAAACAGGUAAAACUAGCCGUCUCACGUACUCAGCAAAAACAUAACAUAACCUAAAAAUGUGAAAAAGAUUUAUUUAUACUAGGCUAAAAUUUCCGAACAAAAAUGCUCCUGUAGAGGUUUCGCGGCCGCGUAUUUCUGACCGCGGUCGCAGUCUUGCUUUCGCGGUCGCGUAAUACUAAGCGUGAUCCGUGUUUCUUUAUAUCUGAGGCUGGGAUAGAGCUUGUUUCCUGGACCGCAUUUUUCUCAUCGUGUCCGUGUUGGUGAUUUUCUCAACCGCGUAUACUUACCGUGAAUCGUGUUCUUUGUUCUUGUACAACUUGCAAAGUCUCUGAAUCCUUAGCACACACUGUCAGCGGAAAACCGCGGCUGCGCCAGUCAUUUAGCGGCCAUAUCUUUUUGUCGUUGUCCGCGCCCCUGAAGGGCUCAAAAUACCACCUCUUUGAUUCUCUCAUUAGCAGUCCUCAAAUUCAUGACCGCAUCCGCAGUGACACUUCCGCAGCCACACUUUUCUGUCGCGGUCCGCGUUUUACAUCUUGUCCCAGUCUUGGUCUUUAUUCCUGUUUUGACUCCUUUAUGAGUUGAUCAUGACCACUUUGGCUCAUUGUGAAGAACUCGCUGCAAGCAAGCAUAUUAUGUUAGUUUUCGAGAAUACAUUUACUCAUUUUAAGCCCAAAAUGCAAGUGAGAGAGCAAAUAAUAGGUUAAAAUUCCCACUUAUCCACUCCCCCAAACUUAAACGUUUGUUUGUUCUCAAGAAAAUAAGGUAAUUCUCACCCCCACUUCAACAAAUCAGAAGAAUAUUUCAGUUGCCCUAAUAUGAAUCAAACAUGCAUCAAUUAGGACUAACAAUUACCCCUAACACAAAUGAAUUAUCAAUAACACACAACCUUUUGAGUACCAUAGUUCUAGUGCGACACAAACGCAUCAAGAGUUGACUUAACUCACCAAGGAAGCUCGCUCUACUACGUAGGUUGUCACACCUCCUUUUUCUACCCGAAAGGGGAUAUAAGUGAGUUUUUCCAAUUAAAGUGACAAUAAUCGAAACGCGAUUAUUUAUUCAAAUUCAGAGUCGCCACUUGGGAUAAUUUAUGGUGUCCCAAGUCACCGGUUUAAAAUCCCGAAUCGAGGAAGUUGACUCUAUUUAUGGUCUGCGAACACAGAAAUCUGGGUAAAGAAUUCUGUUAACCCGGGAGAAGGUGUUAGGCAUUCUCGAAUUCUGUGAUUUUAGCGCGGUCGCUUUAAUCAUACUUGGCUUAAUUAAAUUGUCUAAUUACUUAUUUUUAAACCUAUGUGCUCUUUUCAUUUUACCGCUUUUAAUUAAGAAAUUAACCUGAAACGAGCCAUGCAUAUGUGUACUCAUUUUGUUUGGCGCGUCAAGAAUCAUGUCACGCGUACGUGUCUACAAUUAAUCACGCAUUAUUAUUAUUAAGAAGGUUUUGCCAAAGUUGCAUGAACGCAUACCUCGAUUUAUUUUGGAAAAUAUCGUAAUUAUGUCACGCGAACGUGUACAAUCACGAUGAUAGAUUAAACUGCGCCUAAAGCAUUUCCUAUGAAAAUAAACCCAUAAAGUUUAUAUCCUAAAUCCACCUUUAGAUUAUAUAAAUCUUUGUAUCAAUUCAAAUGAUUAAUCUUUUGGGCUCAGCUCACACAGACGCAGUCAUAUUUCAUUAAAUUUCUUCAUACCGUUGAAAAGAACAAAACUAAAGCAGAUUAAUGGCUAUUUACUUAAUUAUUCUCGUUGCCUGAACAGUGUGAUAUGGGUGUUGAUACUUUGUAUAGAAUCUUCAAAGUACAACAAAAAUUAGCUAAAAUCAACAACAGAAACUGAAAUGGGUUCUCACAUUCAUUUGGCUUUAUUUAAGCCUAAAUCCGAUGCUCAUCCAGAGUUCCAAAAAAGGUGAUACUUGUUCAAAUCCAAAGGAUUGAAUAAUGAAUUGCAACAUAAAAAAUAACAAAAAAAACUAGAAUAAUCCAAACAACAGAUCCAAACAAAUUAGUAUGCAACAAGAACAUCAUUUCAACUUAAAACAUUCAUAAAUCGACAAAAUUUGUCAUGGAAACAAAAGCAGCAGAAAUUAAGAAAAGGGAAGCGGAACCUCUCAUUAAAUGACCAACACGAGCCGACGUACAAUAAAUCCGAAUAGAAACUUUAUCGGACCAAAGAUUGGACCUUGACAGAACCACCAGACGGAGCUUCUGACUGGUUUUCGAAUAGAACCUCGAACCUCAGUUUCCUAUUUCUUACUCUGUUUUUCUGCUAGUGUGCGUGUGUUUGAGGGUAAUUUAUAAACCCUAGAUUUGAUGACCCAGCAUUUCCGGCGUGAUUCAAUUAUCCCAUCUAUAAAUCUGUGAGAACAAGACAAGGAAGGAAGUGAGAGGUAGAGAAGUGAUGGGUGGACGACCAGACCCGCCGGUUGUCAAGUCCGGCGAGAAAAGGGAGUAAGGCAGAUGAGAGAGAGGGAUGGGCUGCUUCUUUCUCUCUGUUUUGUCCAAGCAAAUAGACGAUGGGUGUGUCGCUCAGUGGUCUACUGCGGCUCUCUCUGAUGAAGAAGAAACAACCGCUGGGGGGGGGGGGGUGUUGGUGGAGGGUGGCGACUGUUGGCGUUAGAGAAGAAGAUUGCGGGGGGGGGGGGGGGGGGUUGUGUGUGUGUGUGUUCAACGGAUGGAGAUCCUAGGGUUCUCUAGGUUUUUUAGGUUGAAGAAUAUAAAAUAAGGGGUCGUUCGUUUGUAAGGGUCACCGGCCGUUGGGUUGAAGAGCAAGGUUUUUCUUCUGUUCUCUAGGGUUUUAGCUACUUAGGUCUUUUGUGCUGAAGAUCAUCAGGGAAACAGCCCUUUUU
rnacentral:lncRNA from 1 species